CCUACGGGGGGCAGCAGUGAGGAAUAUUGGUCAAUGGCCGCAGGGCUGAACCAGCCAAGUCGCGUGAGGGAUGACGGUCCUAUGGAUUGUAAACCUCUUUUGUCAGGGAGCAAAGGGCGCCACGUGUGGCGCUUUGCGAGUACCUGAAGAAAAAGCAUCGGCUAACUCCGUGCCAGCAGCCGCGGUAAUACGGAGGAUGCGAGCGUUAUCCGGAUUUAUUGGGUUUAAAGGGUGCGCAGGCGGAAUGUCAAGUCAGCGGUAAAAUUUCGGGGCUCAACCCCGUCGUGCCGUUGAAACUGGCGUUCUUGAGUGAGCGAGAAGUAUGCGGAAUGCGUGGUGUAGCGGUGAAAUGCAUAGAUAUCACGCAGAACUCCGAUUGCGAAGGCAGCAUACCGGCGCUCAACUGACGCUCAUGCACGAAAGCGUGGGUAUCGAACAGGAUUAGAUACCCCAUUAGUC
rnacentral:rRNA from 1 species